GACGAACGCUGGCGGCGUGCUUAACACAUGCAAGUUGAACGUGAUUUUAUAGACAGAUUUCUUCGGAAUGACGAUUAUAAAUGAAAGUAGCGAACGGGUGAGUAACACGUGAGAAACCUGCCUUUCACAAAGGGAUAGCCUCGGGAAACCGGGAUUAAUACCUUAUGAUACAUAGAAAUCGCAUGAUAGCUAUGUUAAAGAUUUUAUCGGUGAAAGAUGGUCUCGCGUCUGAUUAGCUAGUUGGUGGGGUAAAGGCCUACCAAGGCGAUGAUCAGUAGCCGGAUUGAGAGGUUGAACGGCCACACUGGAACUGAGACACGGUCCAGACUCCUACGGGAGGCAGCAGUGGGGAAUUUUGCACAAUGGGGGAAACCCUGAUGCAGCGACGCCGCGUGUACGAUGAAGAUCUUCGGAUUGUAAAGUACUGUCCUUGGUGAAGAUAAUGACUGUAACCAAGAAGCAAGCCCUGGCUAAAUACGUGCCAGCAGCCGCGGUAAUACGUAUGGGGCAAGCGUUGUCCGGAAUUAUUGGGCGUAAAGGGUACGUAGGCGGUUAUUUAAGUCUAAAUUAAAAGGCAUUGGCUCAACCAAUGUAAGGUUUAGAUACUGGAUAACUUGAGUAGAUGAGGGGAAAGUGGAAUUCCAUGUGUAGCGGUGAAAUGCGUAGAUAUAUGGAGGAACACCAAUGGCGAAGGCAACUUUCUGGAAUCAAACUGACGCUGAGGUACGAAGGCGUGGGGAGCAAACAGGAUUAGAUACCCUGGUAGUCCACGCAGUAAACGAUGAGUGCUAGAUGUUGGGAGUCAAAUCUCAGUGUCGCAGCUAACGCAAUAAGCACUCCGCCUGGGGAGUACGUACGCAAGU
rnacentral:rRNA from 1 species